GUUUCAUUCAGAAUUAGAGACAGAGCUGAACAGAGUCUUUGCUGGCCUGAAGAAAAGAACAUGUGGAACAGAAAAUAUCACAAGGAUUUUGAAGAUUAAAAUGGUAAAUUGGACAGAAAGUCACAUAUCAGUGGUCAAUUAAAGAUGCUUUGAUGAUUAAUAUAUCAGAUACGGUUUAAUGCAUCCUUUUGCAGUUUAUGAGCAAGGUGAUGCUGCUGAAUGCCUGGAGUUGAUUUUAAAUAAGAUCAGCCAACAAGACUCUAAGGUGAGUACUUAUAAAAUCUACAAUGUUAUUUACAGGAGAAGAAAUCUGACUGCUGAGUCAUAAGUGAUAUUUCUAUUUUAAGGAAAUACAAGGACAUCUGAUGUAUACAACAAAAUGCUCUGAAGGCCACAUCAUCAAUAAAGAGACAAGUUUAUUCUGGACUCUUCCACUGUCUCUUCCACUGUCUCUGAAAGAUAACCAUGAUACAACCUACAGUGUGGUGAGCAGACAAAGCUCAGAGCUCUAGUUUAGUAUUUUAAUCUGGUCAUGCUGCUCUAAUAUUAUUAUUACAUUUGUGUUUUUACAGGAAAGAAGCUUUGAAAGGAUUUUCCAGACAAAAAUAUUUAAUGGAGACAACAAAGUUCACUGCAACGAAUGUAACUACAAAACAGAGGCAACAAAGGUGAGUUCUGAAAAACUGUAGGAAGUUCAAAGUUUAUACUGGGAUCCAAUAAAAACACUGUAUAUUAAUUUAGAAUACUGAGAUUAAAGGAUUUAGUGUUUGAUAAUGUUUCUUGUGUUAUUUAGGAAUGUGAGAUGGAGAAAUAUCCUCCAAUUUUGACAGUACUUCUGAAGAGAUUUGACUUUGACUACAGGAGGAUGUCACAUUUCAAAUCAGACUGCUGUGUGGAUGUACCUCUUGAAUUAAAGAGAAAGAAUCAAACGUACAAACUGUAUGGGAUGGUGAAACACAUGGGCAGUCUAACAGGUGGACAUUACACAGCCACCAUCCUGUCCGAUGAGGAUGAAACCUGGUAUGAGUGUAGUGAUACUUACGUCAGGAAGGUUGAACAGCUGUUUGAAAAAGAAACUUACAAGUAUGUUUGUAUUUGUAAAUUCAUUUUAUCAUUGAUUUGAGAUAUAUCACAAUAUCUCUCCACUGUAUAUUAUCACCUUAUUGUUGUUCUAUUCAAAUAAUAACAUCAGUUAUUGUUCACCAGAUCCAGGACUGUAUAUCUGCUCAUGUACAGAGGU
rnacentral:lncRNA from 1 species